AGGUGGUGCAUUGGUUGUCGUCAGCUCGUGUCGUGAGAUGUUGGUUAAGUCCCGCAACGAGCGCAACCCCUAUUGUUAGUUGCCAUCAUUCAGUUGGGCACUCUAGCGAGACUGCCGGUAAUAAACCGGAGGAAGGUGGGAUGACGUCAAAUCAUCAUGCCCCUUAUGACCUGGGCUACACACGUGCUACAAUGGUUGGUACAACGAGUUGCGAGUCGGUGACGGCGAGCUAAUCUCUUAAAGCCAAUCUCAGUUCGGAUUGUAGGCUGCAACUCGCCUACAUGAAGUCGGAAUCGCUAGUAAUCGCGGAUCAGCACGCCGCGGUGAAUACGUUCCCGGGCCUU
rnacentral:rRNA from 1 species